UGCGUAGGCGGAGCGUUAAGUCAGUGGUGAAAUCCUGCAGCUCAACUGUAGAAUUGCCAUUGAUACUGGCACUCUUGAGUGCGCUUGAAGUAGGCGGAAUGUGCCGUGUAGCGGUGAAAUGCUUAGAUAUGGCACAGAACACCAAUUGCGAAGGCAGCUUACUAAGGCGAUACUGAGCUGAGGCACGAAAGCGUGGGGAUCGAACA
rnacentral:rRNA from 1 species